rnacentral:tRNA from 1 species
AGUUUUAUCAACUGGUUAAAUGAAACUACCAACCUUUAUGCGUCGGUUCGAUCCCGACCCGCGCCUCCA